GAUAAAAAUAGUUUUAGGAUUUUGAAAGUGAAUGGUGACAGGGAUGUCCUGCUUCUCUGUACCAAAUUCUCUCUAAGACAUUGCCCAUGGAUGAACUGGUGCAUGAUUUGGCCUCGGCCCUGGAGCAGACAUCUGAGCAGAACAAACUGGAUGAGCUGUGGGAAGAAAUGACUCUCAGCCCAAGGCAGCAGAGGCGACAGCUACGCAAGAGACGAGGACGCAAGCGGCGCUCAGACCUCACCCACCAAGCAGACCACGCCUGCUGCUAUAGUGGGGCCUCUGAGUCCAGCCUGGAUGAAGUUGUGGAGGAUUGUCGAGAAGUGCUAACUGCCAACUUCAGCGACUCAGAUGACAUGGCAGGCGCCAAAUGUCAUCCAACACUUAGUGCAGCUCUCAGGAGUAAGCCACAUUCAUGGCAUGAGUCAGACUCAUUCACUGAGAAUGCACCUUGCCGCCCAUUGAGGCGCCGUCGAAAAGUUAAGCGUGUAACGUCAGAGGUGGCAGCUAGUCUUCAGCAAAAACUCAGAGUGUCAGAAUGGAGUUAUGAAAAGGGUUGCAGGUUCAAGUCUGCUAAGAAGCAGCGUCUUUCCCGAUGGAAGGAAAAUGCUCCCUGGACAUCAGCUAGCCGAGGACUGCACGAGCCAGUCGAGACCAGAACAUUCCUUAACAAAGGGGGAAGGAAUGAAAGGAUGGAAUGCGAAGCAGAUGAACAGAAACAGGGUUCUGAUGAAAAUAUGUCUGAAUGUGAAACCAGCAGUGUGUGCAGCAGCAGUGACACUGGUCUUUUCACCAAUGAUGAAGGUCGCCAAGGUGAUGAUGAGCAGAGUGAUUGGUUCUACGAGGGAGAAUGUGUUUCAGGAUUCACAGUCCCUAACCUCCUGCCCAAGUGGGGAACAGACCAUCAGUCUGACAUGGAACGCAUGGAUUCUGGCCUUGAGAAAAUCUCAGACCCAACAUUUCUUCUGCCUUCCCGGCCUGCUACAAGAGGAUUUCAUGCCCGCUUGAACCGCCUUCCCAGUGUUGCUCCUCGCUGCCUCAGGAAGGGCCGUAGGAGACUGGUUAGCAAGGAGACCAUCAUUAAUGCUAUGGGCACUGAGAGGAUUAGCCACAUCAUUGGUGAUUCUUGCCAAAAAGAUUUCUGGUUGCCAUCAGUGGGAAUGAGAGAUCGCAACCAGUUAAAUCCAUUAUCUCCUCUGUAUUCCUUGGAUGUUCUUGCUGAUGCCUCCCACCGAAGGUGCUCCCCAGCACACUGCACAGCCAGGCAGACUAGUAUACAUCUGGGACCUCCGUGCUCAAGGGACAUUAAGAGGAAGAGGAAGCCAGUUAUGGCAACAGCCUCCCUUUCCAGUCCAACUUCAGCAGCACACUGGUUAGAAGGCAGGACAUCUGUUGGCUUUCUGGACAGCAUUUCAGAAAUCAGACAGAAAUCAUGAUACAAUGCUUUGAAGGAUUCUUGCUGUCCUAGCCUUUGAGACCCCCAUAAGCUGGGCUAAAAACAACUUUAUCCAUCCACAGGAAUACAUCAGACCCUGGCCUACCUGUGGCACACUCUCAGAGGCACCAGAACUGACUGGAUGUGCAGAUUCCAUGUGUCGGAGAUACAAAGCUUCACUAUCACCCAGGCAGCUCUUUAAAAAAGAAGGUCCUUGAUGGCACUGGAUGCAGGCAACUCUUUGACGGGGCUUUUUGUAUGUUGGACUGCUGAGAGCAUCAGAAGCUUCAUCAAAAAACAUGGUGUUUCCAGUGUUUAAAAUGUAACAUUUCAGAAUGCUUUGUUCACUUCACACGUCCUGCAAGUCAUGUCUGUAAAUCCAUGUAAAAAUGUGUAAUCUGCACUGAGUUUUCCAUACUUCCAGUGUUUUGCUGUGGAAAUAUCUAUUGUGCACUCUGAUUUUCAUACCCAGCAGUUGCUGAGUGUGUGUGCGUGCAAAGUGUUAUUGAUUACUAUAGAUGCCUGUCUUUAUUGUAAAGCUCUUCAUCCUUUCGACAUACAAGCUUUAGCAGAGUUCUGUAUUCAACAGGAGGAAUUCUCAUGGCUUUGCAUUGGAGAGGCUGAGACUGUGCCUCUGACAAGCAUAAGAACUGAAAAUGAGUCAACUAGGCUCCCUGAUUGAAGUGGAAGUUCAUUGGGGUGGAGGUCACUUCGUAUGUACUAGAUGAUUUAACUUUUAUAUUGAGAACAUUUCUAAAUGCUCCUUGAUGGACAACAUUUUGGACAGAUAGGCAAAAUGGAAUGAUAAACCACUUCUGAGUAUUCUUUCCCUAGAAAACCCUGAAAAAGGUUGCCAUAUGUCAGAAUUGACUUGAUGGCACACAAUUAUUAUAUCCCUUCCAGACUGUUCUUUGUAUAUUAUCUUUCUAAGAGUGUCUUCCUCUUCCUGAGUCACUGGUGUAUCUUCCUGUUUUAAGUUAGAGCUCUUCUCCUGUCUGCCUUGCUUUUGGGUGUCUCCUACCACACAAGCCAGUGGAACCAUAAAUUCACAGAUUGGGCUGUCAUGGUACUCUUUAUGCGAAUGACAAUGAAAUAGACUGCCAGCUGUACUUGGUCUGUUUUGGCAACUGCUGUAAGGCAUUAUCUGAAGUCCAUUUGUUGCUCCUGUUACAGCCUUUUAAAGUAUGUGUUUUCAAAGAAGUCUUUAUGCAGGAGCAGCUAUUCAUUCUACAGGUCAUUCUGUGGGCUCACCUUGAAAUGUUAAGUGUCAGAAGUGUCACAACAAAAAUAGCUGUCAUGCAUACCUACUGUGUGUGUGUGUGCAAGAAAAAGAACCUUAUUCGUGCGCAGGCUCAAAGCCCAUUGUGGGAGCGUGUGGACACUACUAUCCUUUGCCUCCACUUGCCUGAUCCUUCUGGAUCACCUCAUUCUUUUAUGUGUCCCCAUUGAUAAGGCCAGCUUUGUACCUGGGCCUGGGGCACCGCUUCCCUUCCCUUUAUGCUGCAGCAGCCCAUGGUGGACCUCUGGGCUGCAUUGUACAAAGUAGCAGUGAUGCAACCAACCAGACUGGUUGUUAGGGAGAGAAAGGGAGAUGUAGAUGCACCAACAAUACUACAGGUCUGCCCUCUUCUGCCCUCUUCACUGUUGGAAAGUUCCCCAGCAGCCAGGUGAUGACCACUGUGAGCAGUGGGUGGAGCUCUUACAGACCCUCCCUGCUGCAACAGUGGUGUAGAAACCCCUCCCCCCAUCCCUCCAUUAGAAGUCAGGCAAGAGCUCUCCAGUGUGCUUGCACAGCACUCCACCGUGUUGCUUUCGCUAGAUUUAACUUGCUUUUCCAGGCUCUCCCUGCCCUUUCAGCAGGUUGCUAACCUUGCACUCUUCAUGACCUGCCUUUGGCCUUGAAUGUGCAAUUCCUACCAUGCACCUUCUGUGCAUAUUAUUAAUAGGGGAAAAAGCACUUAGUAGUGCUGGGACCAUGUGGGUGUACUGGGAGGUAUUCUGUGGAAAUCAUAAUACCUGUGAGUGCUAAACUUAUUCUCUUGCUUUCAGGCUGGGAUCCUUCCUUUAAUACAGUGGUCAGGGAACAGGGGUAAAUUUCCCCAAAUGGGGUAAAAAUGAAAAUCCUGGGGUAAUGAGGACGGUCGUGGCAGCUCGGCCAUCCUCAUUACCUCCAGACGGUGAGAGCGGAGGGGCAGUGCUGGGAGGGGGUGGGGUAAUGUCGGCAUAUAUAAACUUUUUUGGGGGGGUAAAAGGUAAAAAAGUUUCCUGACCCCUGCUUUAAUAUAUUUACAAAAAUGUAUCUCCUUGGCAGUAUGUGUGGGGAAUGGCUUUUUCCUUGCACUUUCUAAUUGGGUGUGUGUAGGUAAGGAACAUGAGAGAAGGAAAGUAUGAAUGUGGUGUAGUGCUUUGUCCUUGCAACUUUGCUAUCUGUUUUCUAGUCGAAAUUGCUUGUUACCAGCAAGAAAAGUCAGGAAUCUAGGCAACUAUUUUGCAUUUCAAUUUCAGCACUGUUUUAAAUACAUGCCUUUUCAUGCUUUUUUUUUUAAUUCAUGUUUGACGUUUCCCUUGAGGUUUCCUUUUUGCAACACGAAUCUGAGAUUGUGUCCAGAAUUAUAUCUUUCAUUGGAUUCCAUCACUUGUGCACGCACCAGGUACAGGGCCAGAGUGAAUGGCACCACAGCUUUUCAAUACAUAAGGUAUCCUGGCUCUGGAUGCAAGCUGGUGUUGAUCAGAUGCACAUAGUAUAUUUUGUCUGGUUUUAUAAUGUGUUGAUCUCUUUUGCCUUAACUCAUAAAAUGGAGGAUGUGAUCUGGGCAUAACAAAUGUAUUAACUGUAUACAAACAUGUUUUAAUGGUCAAUAAUCCUAAAGACCAGCACUGGUUGGGCUGAUGGAGUUUGUCAUGUGUGAUAACAUGAGUUUAUCAGAAAAUAUAGAGCAAGUAUGUAUGCUUCUCUAGUCAUAUUAAUGAUGCCUUGCCUGUAUCGGAAUCAUUGACGCCAACUCUGUAUCCCAGCCAUAGACACAGAUCUUUGUAAGUACACUUAUUCUGAAAUUGGUUAGGAAUGACAUUUUUUCUUAAUUCUGUACAAAAGACACCCAAGAUAAGGGUUUAUUUUAGGUGUGUGCAAGCUCUAGGGGCCAUUUUUCUACCCCUGGACCUCUUCAGGAGCUUCAGUAGGUCCUCCACAUGAAACAGUACUAAUUGUGGGUUCAUUGUAUUUAAAAUAAUAAUAAUAAAAGGAAACAAAUGGAUAUUCUAGUAAAGCAAGGUGUGGGUAGGCAGACCUUGUCAUAAGAAAAGAAUCAUGUCCCUAGAGAGCACUCUUCUCUCAUUUCUUGAAAACGAAAAUGGAUUUUUAAAAAAUGGCUCUGAGGGGUAUUUUGGAGCGAUAUGUAGUCUUUUGCCUCUGAUUAUUUCAAUAUUAAGAUUUAAGAAACCAGGAAGAGAGCCAGUAUUUUCACUUUUGCAUCUUGAUUGUCUCCUGUGCAAAUCUCCAUCAAAAUUAAUGAGAACCUCCCAUUUGUUGCACACCAAAUGCCCCUUGCAUUAGCCUGUAUACUGAAAAUCUUACCAGACAGUUUCUACUUAUUUUUUUAAACAUAUUUCCAUCAUACAGAUUUGGUAGUUGUUGGAGCAUUCAUUAGAAAGGGGCGAUAUGAGUUGCAAUUUCACUGGUCCCAUGCUUUGUUUGCAAUGUUUCCUCAAUGUUUUAGCUAAUGUUUUAACCUGAAAUAACUAAUUCACCAUAUGAUGGCCAUAACGUGUAAUGAAAACUAGUAUCUAGUAGCUUCACAUAAUCUAGAAGCAGGCACAGAUGUUUGUUUGUACCUUUAUAUGUGGCAAUAUUUUUAAUUCCGGCUUCUCUAAUAUUUUUACUUCUUUUUCUUUUUGCAAAGACUCUUAUACAGAGUGAUGGAGGUCAUAGGCAGCAUAGGUAAUGCUACUGAGUAGACAUGUGUUUAGGAUCUAAAUAGAACCUGCAACAGUUGUCAGGCUUCAAUAUAUCUGUGAUCGCUAACAGUGAAACCCACGGGACCCAGGAUAUAUAUGUGGAAGAAAUUCCAAAUUAGUAUAAACUUUGUAUUCUCUGAAUUACUUUGUGGCUGCAUUUCAGUGUCGUGCUCCCUAGUCCUCAAAAUCAUGGUCUCGAGGAUUUACCUUUAUGUGUUUCAAUACUUGUUGUAUUCUAAUUUUUGUAACAAGUAUGAUCCAAAACAUCCUGAAAUCAUCCAAGUGUAAUUGAUUAUAUUGUAUUAAAGUUUUUUUAAAA